rnacentral:rRNA from 1 species
UACGUAGGGUGCAAGCGUUGUCCGGAAUUAUUGGGCGUAAGGAGCUCGUAGGCGGUUUGUCGCGUCGGCUGUGAAAACUCGGGGCUCAACCCCGAGCCUGCAGUCGAUACGGGCAGACUAGAGUGCGGUAGGGGAGACUGGAAUUCCUGGUGUAGCGGUGAAAUGCGCAGAUAUCAGGAGGAACACCGGUGGCGAAGGCGGGUCUCUGGGCCGAUACUGACGCUGAGGAGCGAAAGCGUGGGGAGCGAACAGG